rnacentral:rRNA from 1 species
AUUGAACGCUGGCGGCAGGUUUAACACAUGCAAGUCGUACGAGUGGCGGACGGGUGAGUAAUGCUUGGGAAACUAGCUUAUGGAGGGGGAUAACUACUGGAAACGGUAGCUAAUACCGCAUACCAUCAGAUGAACCCAUAUGGGAUUAGCUUGUAGGUGAGGUAAAGGCUCACCAAGCCGACGAUCUCGAGCUGGUCUGAGAGGAUGACCAGCCACACGGGGACUGAGAAACGGCCCAGACUCCUACGGGAGGCAGCAUUGGGGAAUAAUGCGCAAUGGGGGCAACCUGACGCAGCCAUGCCGCGUGAAUGAAGAAGGCCUUCGGGUUGUAGAGUUCUUACGGUAGCGAGGCGUUAACUACAGAAGAAGCACCGGCUAACUCCGUGCCAGCAGACGCGGUAAUAC